UACGAAGGGGGCUAGCGUUGUUCGGAAUUACUGGGCGUAAAGCGCACGUAGGCGGAUAUUUAAGUCAGGGGUGAAAUCCCAGAGCUCAACUCUGGAACUGCCUUUGAUACUGGGUAACUCGAGUAUGGAAGAGGUGAGUGGAAUUCCGAGUGUAGAGGUGAAAUUCGUAGAUAUUCGGAGGAACACCAGUGGCGAAGGCGGCUCACUGGUCCAUUACUGACGCUGAGGUGCGAAAGCGUGGGGAGCAAACAGG
rnacentral:rRNA from 1 species